GUACUUUAUGCAAUAUUGGUGAGCGAAGAGAAAUGUCCUUUAAUUCGGAUUUAUGUUUAAUUGGCAAAUGUUCUGCUGUCUAAUUUAAGGACACUGUUAAUUUAAAUUUUUCUGUAAGAUUUGACCAUGUCAUUCAGUUUAGUAUCCAUGAAUGAUAAUUUUGAUCGAGACCGUUGUUUCUAAAUAUAAGCAAGUUGCAAAGCGGAUAUUAAGUAAAUUUGGGCUGGUGCUUUCUUAAGUUACAAGUAUUUCAAACUUUUGAUAUUCUCGUAACCCAUAAGUGGUUUUUGUGAUUUCAAACUGGGGUCCUGAGGGCAAUUGAAAAUCUAUGCAUGGUUAUUGAGAAUUGA
rnacentral:misc_RNA from 1 species